ensembl:lncRNA
UGGAAUUUGACUCUACAUUGAACAUUUGAAGGAAAGGUGACGAUCCCCGAAGGGGUCUCCCCCUUCUCUGGAGAACAGAGCUGACCUAGACUCAACCAACCAGCCACGGAGGCACAUCACUCGCCGUGGAAGUCGAAGAAGGCGUCCUCUGACAAAGGGAAUCUCCAUAAAGAUGUUGAGCCCAGGAACUGACAGACCAGAAACAGCUUUUGGAUCCGGAGGUACCUGCGUCUUCGUCCUCAGCUCAGUCUCCCUUUCCGGUGGAUCUACAUCGGUUCAGAUCCUCAGAGCUCCCAGCCUCACCAGACCAUGAGGCUGCCUGAGAGACCGGCCCAUUCAACAUCAGCAGUUGUCAUUGUAGGCAGCUUUAUGGUGAGAAACAUCUCGGUCCCAAAGGCAAAAACCCUGUGCUACCCAGGAGCACGAGUACAGGACAUAACAAGGCUUCUUCUGAUUGUUCUACCACAGAUGCCGGGAGCUGACACUGUCGUAGUCCAAGUGUGGUCAAACGACAUCAGGAGGGCUAGCUCGGAACAUUUGAAAAUAGGUUUUAAAAAGAACUGAUUUUAGCAUUAAGACAAAAAAAAACAGCCAAUAAUUUCAGGUCCAAUAGCAUCGUUGGUGUGUGAAAGAUUCAGCAGACUGCUGGCUUUACACAUCUGGCUAAAAGAGUACUGUAGCUCUGCUGGAGUCAAUUUUAUUGAUAACUUUGACACCUUCUGGAAACAGAAGAUACACCACAGGAAUGAUGGACUCCAUCCAAAUCAUCUUGGCUCCUGUCCACGCAUUUCAAGGCUGUGUUGAAACAAUGACUAGUAAAUGAUCCAAGACCAGCUCAGUUAAUCCUUACCAUUGUGACAAUGAGUCGUCAUAAUGCUGCACCAAAUGUACAUGAUCUUAGGGGCAUUGACAAACAAUGUAAGUAGUUUAAAUUGCAUGUACCCCUAAUUGCACCAAAUGAAUCGGUUUAUCCUACAGUUACACUGUUAGCACUGAGGCAGUGUGCAAUAGUAGGAAGACCACUUUAUGCAGCUCACCCUGCACUAUCAGCUCCAAUGUAAAUAACAUGAGUAAGUCUACCUCUGAUAAGCAUCCCAGUAAAGCAUUAAAAAUAGCCCAUAUUAACAUGUAGCCUAAGAAACAAGGUCCAUGAAGUCAAUAACUUGCUUGUAACAGAUGACAUUCAUAUUAUGACUCUCAAACUCACUUAGAUAAUACCUUUGAUGAUAGUGGUAGCAAUACAUGGUUUUAACAUCUAAUCAAAAGACAGAAAUGCCUACUGAGGUGGUGUUGCGGUCUAUAUUCAGAACCACAUUCCUGUAAAAGCUUAGAGACGAUCUAAUGGUAAAUACUGUUGAAGUAAUAUGGCUACAGGUUCAUCUGUCUCACCUAAAGCCCAUUCUUGUGGGGAAGCUGCUAUAGACCAAGUGCUAACAGUCAGUAUCUGGAUAAUGUGUGUGAAAUGCAUGUGAUCAACGGAGAAGUAUAUUUUCUGGGUGAUUUAAAAUAUUGACUGGCUAUCAUCAAGCUGCCCACUCAGGAAAAAACUUCAAACAGUAACCAGUGCCUGCAAUCUGGAUCAGGUUGUCAGUCAACCUACCAGGGUGGUUACAAACAGCACAGGAAUUAAAUCAAUGUAUUGAUCACAUUUUUACUAACGCUGCAGAAAAUACCCAAAUCCAUAGGAUGUAGUGAUCACAAUAUAGCCAUAUCUAGGAAAUCCAAAGUGCCAAAGGCUGGGCCUAAUAUAGUGUAUAAGAGGUCAUACAAGAAGUUUUGUAGUGAUUCAUAUGUUGAUGAUCUGAAGAAUAUAUUUGCUGGUCUGUGGUGUGUAAUGAGGAGCAACCAGACGCUGCACUUGACACAUUUAUAUUUCAAUGAACUGAUGAACCAAGCGCGCCAGGACAAGUUGUCUACAGAAAUAAAGCAACUUAAAAAUCAAGAAAUUAAACCCUGACAAAAAAAAAGGCAGAGGACAAAGUCAACUUCUGGAGAAACCCUGACAAAAAAAAAAAAAAAAAAAAAGUCCUACUCCUCCUUUCCAUGACAGACGCAGAAGGGAUGCCGCUUACUUCUAUCCACCCCCGUCUGAUCAACGCUCUACAACCAGCGCCUCAUCUGCUUUCAGUGCCAGUUCUCUUAUACAACGAGAGACUGGGGCGACGGAAGGGCGGAGGUGGCUGCGGGCACCGACGAGAUGCCGCACCCGACGGGGUAAGAAGAAAUGACUACCAAAGGCAGAAAGGACCGUUCUCAAAGUCCCAGAACCCACGAGACUGAAGGUUUAUCUUCUGUGCCUACAACUCAGUGCAACGAUUUUGAUGUUAAGGUUACAAGAAUCUACAGUCUGAAGCAAUAUUCCUUGACCCAAGGACUGUACCUGAAAUUAUUUUUUUUUUUAAAUCACCGGUGAAGUGUUCAUUAGAGAAGUCCUUAUCAACCAGUGAAACAGAAGAAUUCCUCACUACGGCAGAAAAUCAUUUCUUAGUCAUCUACGUGGGACUGAUACCAGUGUGGAAGAGCUGGUCACUUUUAAAGGACUUGUGUGAGUUUCCUCCUAAUACAGGAUGUGGUAGGAAUCGCAAGGGAUAACAUUACACCUGUUGGAAAAUAAGUAUUAACACGUUGUUUUAAACCUAUUUGUUAUUGUAACAGCAAGUAAAAUAUGCCCUUUGUGUUUUAUAGAAAUGCAAGGUGUUUAAUGUAAAUUAGUUUAUGCUUACUAAUUUGUUUGAAUACAAUUUUUUCAUGUUCUCAAAAUCCAUUUUAAAGUAUAUAUUUUAAAUUAAAUAGUCUAGGGGGGAGUGUAAGAAUAUGUCGAAGAUAAAUACAAAACGCAGAGGACUAGAAUUACAAUCAAUAGAAAGUUGUUUCAGUUCAACAUCUGUUUAGAAUGUUAGGAAUAUCAGUCCUGAACUCAUAGCUAUGUGUGCAGUUUUCAUUGGUCUGAAUCAUCUGUACAUCGAGUCUGGAGCAGGAUACUUGUAAUUUGGCCCAGUUGUUCUGCAAGGACUUCUAAUUGGGUUAUAAAUUACAUCCUGUUGCUUUGUUCCAUGGCGAGAAUCACAAAGGACAGGGGAGCAUGAAUAUCUACCUCCCCGCAUGAUUUGUUCUUUGAAUAAACCUAUUAACGUCCCCCAGAUUUGCUUUGGGGUCAGUGUUAUUGAACAAUAACAGCAACUGCUUACAGUAGUGUUAAUUCAGUGUACUUUAUCACCCAUUUCACGAAAGACUCUUCCCACACCGCUUCAGAAGCAUCUGCGUUCAAAUGUGUGGUUAUGCUAAGAUAUUCUCAAGAGGGAAUUGUUGAUAUGCUGUAAUGGAGUACUGACCUAUAUUGGAAUUGUUAAGGUCAUACCAUCAUUUUGCUAUUUGAUUUAGCAUUAAGACCCUUUAACGUAAAAGAUAAAAUGGACAUGUAUUUAAUCCCUUCUUUUUGGCACUCAACAGUCUCCAUACAGUGCAUUCUGAAAGAAUUUACCCCCUUUCAAGAUUGUUAUGUUAAAAGCCUUAUUCUAAAAUUGAGUAAAACAUUUUUGUAAUCAAUCUUCACACAAUACCCGAAAAUGACAAAGGGAAAACAGGUUUUGAAAUUGGCACAUUUAUUACAAAUAAUAAAAACUUAUUUACAUAAGUAUUCAGACCCUUUGCCAUGAGACUAGAAAUUGAGCUCAGGUGCAUCCUGCUUCCAUUCAUCAUCCUUGAUGUUUCUACAACUUGAUUGGAGAUCUGGGAAAGGGAACCAAAAAACAUCUGCAGCAUUGAAUGUCCCCAAGAACAGUGGCACAUGACAGCCUGCUUGGAGUUUUCCAAAAUGCACCUAAAAGGACUCAGACAAUGAGAAACAAGAUUCUCUGGUCUGAUGAAACCACUAUUGAACGCCUUGUCCUGAAUGCCAAGCAUCCCUUCUGGAGGAAAUCUGGCACAUAGUGGUGGAAGCAUCAUGCUGAGGGGAUGUUAUUCAGCUGCAGGGAUUGGGAGAUUAGUUAGGAUUGAGGGAAGAUGAAACGUGCAAAGUACAGAGAGAACCUGCACCAAAAUGCUCAGGACCUCAGACUGGGGCGAAGGUUCCCCUUCCAACAAGACAAUAAUCACACAGCACAGCCAAUACAGGUGUGCCAAGCUUGUAGCGUCAUUCCCAAGAAUACUCGAGGAUGUAAACUCUGCUAAAAAAACAAGUGCUUCAACAAAAUACUGAGUAAAGGGUCUGAAUACUUAUGUAAGUGUGAUGUACAUUAGGAACAAUCUCUAAAAAAUCUUGCUUUGUCAUUAUGGGAGUAGUGCAUGUGUGUAGAUUGAGGAAAAAACAAAUUAAUCAAUUUUAGAGUAAGGCUGUGUCAUGACGUUGCCCUCUGAGUACAGCGAGCACCAUCCCCACUCUCUGCUUCUACAACCAGACUGCUGUGGUCAGAGGUCGUGAAUUCCUGAGAAGACCUCAUGGACACAGUUAUAGAGAGUAGUUUUUCAUGGAGACAAAGGAAAUCCUUCCACCUCACAGAACUUGAGGUACGAACAAAUUUCAUGUUCCAGAGAACGUGUAAAAGAUCGGUGAAGAAUCCUGCUACGAACUGGUCCGUUUGGCACAACUUGGGAAGCUCAAGAGAGACGGUGUGGCCACAUUACCAUAACGCUCGACCCCACCCUGUGCAAAUGGGUCCUGGACUUCCUGACGGGUCACCUCCAGGUGGUGAGGUUAGGUAACAACAUCUCCACCCAGCUGAUCCUCAACACUGGGGCCACACAAGGGUGCGUUCUCAGCCCUCUCCUUGUUCACCCAUGACUGCGUGGCCAUGCACACCUCCAACUCAAUCAAGUUUGCAGACGACACUACAGUGGUACGCUUGAUUACCAACAAUGACGAGAUGGCCUACAGGGAGGAGGUGAGGGCCCUCUGAGUGUGGUUUUUUUCCUGACACCACACCCCAUGUCAAAAAAAACAAAGGAGAUGAUCGUGGACUUCAGGAAACAGCAGAGGAGGCAGCCCCCUAUCCACAUCGAUGGGACAGUAGUGGAGAAGGUGGAAAGUUAAGUUCCUCCGUGUACACAUCACAGACAAGCUGAAAUGGUCCACCCACAAAAGGUGUCAUGACGUUGGCCUGGGGGAUAGGUUUAAGACAGUCAUAAAUACCUCUCCCCCCCCCCCUUUUUCCUAUAACCUACUGAGGUUACAUUUAAAAAACCCUUGGUUAACAUAGAGAUUCUGGGAACAUCAGUAGGUGGGGAGAAAUUAACUAUAUUCUGGUAAUCCGAACAAUUGAACAUAUGCGGUGGUACUUAAUGAAUAUGAUGUCAUCGGAGACAUUCUCAUCAAUGAUAAGAUGACAAACUCUACAGUGGAAAGUCUACACCGAGUUAUCGGAUUCACAUGGAAUUGUUGUUCAAUUUAAAUGUUUGAAUAUUAAAUUAUUUGUGAUGGGAUGAAAUGUGAUUUUAGCUUCUAAAAUGAGAUGUGGAUUUUCAUAAGAGAAGGCUGAGAUAAGUGGCCCGCCUCUGUGAAGGGACAUGGGCUAUAAAACAUUUCAAACAUGCCCUCUUCCCCCUUCCUAUAUAAAGCCUUGACGACAACAUAACUUCCUGUUCCGAAGACGUAGGGACAACGGUCCUACGUCAGAAUGGUUCAGAUAACUACAGAACGAAGCCAACCUCAGCGUGAGAUUUGGUGGCGAAUGGUAUGAACUUUGAACUCUUAUUCACUACAGAAGUGAUACCUCCUAGCCGCUGAGUUAGCAACAGCAGAUGCAACGAGGGUUAGGAAGGAACAGAGAGUAUCACGUCUAUCACCCAAAGACAUUACUACGUAUCCAAUUGACAACCGGAGACAUUCUUCAAAGGACAAAGGACUCGGUUUGGCAACACGGCCUUCCAUCUACCACCAACGUACUGAAGCGCAGCUCAGAGUAAAUAUUUAUUGCAUUUUCCUUUUCCAAAUGGGCGAUAAAGAAUGCAUAAGAUACUGUAUUUACGAUAGAACAUAUUUUUCCCUUUGUUCCUCAGUCUCCCGCUCUUUCACUCAACACAGUCCCUUUUCCUUUGUGUCAUAUCUGUUCCGCCCUCUAGGGACGUUUUUCUUUAUGACGUAAUUUGUAAUCAAGUUAUGAUUAAUUGUGUGUAUGUGAAUUCUGUGUGAUUAGUUAGGUAUUUAGUAAAUAAAUAAACCCAAUUUUGUAUUGCU